rnacentral:tRNA from 2 species
GGAGAGGUGCCAGAGCGGCUUAAUGGGCACGCCUGGAAAGCGUGUGUGGGUGCAAGCUCACCGCAGGUUCGAAUCCUGUCCUCUCCGCCA